AUGGGAGGAGGCGCCGGCUGCUCCGGGCCCCCGGGACCCUUCCCCAGACCCAGUCCCACCAUGGCUGCCCCGUGCCUGCCCUCUCGGCUGCGCCCCGUGUGCCCUCGACACCCACGGACCAGGGCCGCAGGGCGGGCUCCAGCAGAGGGGGGCUCGCGGGGAGGGGAGGGGAGAGAGGGCCCCCCCGACCUGCCCUCCCUCCGAGGGUCCCCACGCCCGUGGCCCCGGGGCAGGGUGUCUCGGCUCCCGCACAGCUUGGGCGCCCUCCUCGCAGCCCCGACCCCCAACGCCCCGUGUGGGCCCCGCGCCCUGGCGGAGGCUUGUACAGGGGCGGUGGGAGGGCUGAGGCCCACGCUCUGGGGCGCACGGCGGGCGGAUCAGACACGGUCGGUCCUGCUGCGGGGACCCCUGGGUCGGGCCGCGCUCCCUGCGAGCCCGCGACCCCGGGACCGACCCGCGCCGGCGGCUCUGCGUGGGACACGCGUGUACAGCUCGACGUGCGGCGCCUGGAGGACGGGCUUCGGGGACAGUCGGGGUGUCCUGCUUGAGACACGUGGCCGCUUCGGGGGAGGCCUCGCCUCAGUGUCACGGGGCCCUCGGACGGCUCGGCCUCGCGCGUGCCCACGCUCACACGCACGCUCACACGCACGGCCGUACUCACAUGCACUCAUGCUCAUAGCACACUCAUGCUCACACACACUCACAUGCACACUCAUGCUCACACACAGGUGCUGGGCUGCAAGCACCUGGGCCCAGAGUGUGCCCUACACCCUGCCGGCCAAAGACGAGCAGAGGCAGCAACCCCUCAGAAUCAGGGCGAAGCAGGCUGAGGGCUCCUAUGGGGUUUCCUGUGGGGCUCAAGGGGCAGACAGCACCCGGCCUUCCCAGGCUCCCCACCCCGGGGCUGCUGUCCCCUGUCCUCUGAGCCCCUCCAUCCCAGGACAGUGCCUGUCACCGGUGGCAUCUCCCCGGUUCUGGGGGCCCCGGGGCUGCCUGCAUCUCCAGGCCUGCGUGCCUCCCGCAGGACAAGGGCAUCCCCAGGGCAGCACAGGGCCGAGCCACCAGGCGGCCCGUCCCCACCCCGGGCUGCAUCUGCCCCAGGAGCCACGGAGGACACGCAGGCGUUUGAAGCGAGUGGCUGGCGGCGGGGGGCAGGCGAGGCCGACAGCUGGUGAGUGUGGGCACCUCUGUGGAAGCAAUCAGCCUGGAAGACGGAGGUGCAUCAGGCUCUCCGGGGUCAGCCGCCCGUGCGUCCCGGAAGGCCUGCGCACGCCCAUGUGUCCUCGUCACUCAAAGGGCCCAGCCCCUGGAGGCAGGAAGCCGCCGCAAGUGCUGGUGUGUCCGGGGGUAUUUAGAUCAAAGGCCCGCAGCUGGACGCGGGGGGCGGGCACGCAGCAGCUGCCCACGGCCUCCUCCCCCUGCGUCCGCCCCGCUGGGGGGUCCCUGUGGGUGGCGUGUGGGGCUCCUUCCCCGUGCGGGGAACCUGAGCGGUCAGGCCCACGUCCAGGCGCCUCCUGGACGCCCAGCCAGCCCCACAGCACGGAGUCUGGGACGUGGCCACAGGCUGAAGGGGCCACACACCCCGUGUGGGGGCCACGAGGAGGGGAGCUCAGCCCCCUUCAGGGGCGGCAGGGGUCUCGGCAGGCCUCAGGCGCCGAGGCGGUGUGGGGCCAGGGGUGCCGGGCACGCUGCCGGCUGCCUGUGAACGAGCAUCGGGGAGGAAGGACAUCAGUCACUUCCUUCCAGACCCGGCUCCAGACUCUGAUCAGCUCCUGGGAGGGAUCCAGUGACCACCGGUGUCCCCCAGGAGCAGCGCCGGGGGGCCCAGGCAGGGACCCCGCACCCCGAGGCCCCGCGUGA
rnacentral:lncRNA from 1 species